GAUGAAGAACGCAGCGAAAUGCGAUACGUAAUGUGAAUUGCAGAAUUCAGUGAAUCAUCGAGUCUUUGAACGCACAUUGCGCCCCCUGGUAUUCCGGGGGGCAUGCCUGUCCGAGCGUCAUUGCUGCCCUCAAGCCCGGCUUGUGUGUUGGGUCUCGUCCCCCUUCCCGGGGGGACGGGCCCGAAAGGCAGCGGCGGCACCGUGUCCGGUCCUCGAGCGUAUGCGGCUUUGUCACCCGCUCUGUAGGCCCGGCCGGCGCUUGCCGAUCAACCAAAACUUUUUUCCAGGUUGACCUCGGAUCAGGUAGGGAUACCCGCUGAACUUAAGCAUAUCAAUAAGCGGAGGA
rnacentral:misc_RNA from 1 species